UCCCAGACUCCUACGGGAGGCAGCAGUGAGGAAUAUUGGUCAAUGGGCGGAAGCCUGAACCAGCCAAGUCGCGUGAGGGAAGAGGGCCCUGCGGGUCGCAGACCUCUUUGGACGGGGAGCAAGGCCGCCGACGUGUCGGCGGAAGGAGAGUACCCGUAGAACAAGCAUCGGCUAACUCCGUGCCAGCAGCCGCGGUAAUACGUAGGGGGCAAGCGUUAUCCGGAUUUACUGGGUGUAAAGGGAGCGUAGGCGGUGAUGCAAGUCAGAAGUGAAAGCCCGCAGCUCAACUGCGGGACUGCUUUUGAAACUGUAUGACUAGAUUGCAGGAGAGGUAAGUGGAAUUCCUAGUGUAGCGGUGAAAUGCGUAGAUAUUAGGAGGAACACCAGUGGCGAAGGCGGCUUACUGGACUGUAAAUGACGCUGAGGCUCGAAAGCGUGGGGAGCAAACAGGAUUAGAUACCCGUGUA
rnacentral:rRNA from 1 species